rnacentral:rRNA from 1 species
GAUGAACGCUGGCGGCGUGCCUAAUACAUGCAAGUCGAGCGAACAGACGAGGAGCUUGCUCCUCUGACGUUAGCGGCGGACGGGUAAGUAACACGUGGAUAACCUACCUAUAAGACUGGGAUAACUUCGGGAAACCGGAGCUAAUACCGGAUAAUAUAUUGAACCGCAUGGUUCAAUAGUGAAAGACGGUUUUGCUGUCACUUAUAGAUGGAUCCGCGCCGCAUUAGCUAGUUGGUAAGGUAACGGCUUACCAAGGCAACGAUGCGUAGCCGACCUGAGAGGGUGAUCGGCCACACUGGAACCGAGACACGGUCCAGACUCCUACGGGAGGCAGCAGUAGGGAAUCUUCCGCAAUGGGCGAAAGCCUGACGGAGCAACGCCGCGUGAGUGUUGAAGGUCUUCGGAUCGUAAAACUCUGUUAUUAGGGAAGAACAAAUGUGUAAGUAACUAUGCACGUCUUGACGGUACCUAAUCAGAAAGCCACGGCUAACUACGUG